rnacentral:rRNA from 1 species
AUUGAACGCUGGCGGCAGGCUUAACACAUGCAAGUCGAGCGAGCGGCGGACGGGUGAGUAAUGUCUGGGAAACUGCCUGAUGGAGGGGGAUAACUACUGGAAACGGUAGCUAAUAACGCAUAACAUCAGAUGUGCCCAGAUGGGAUUAGCGAGUAGGUGGGGUAAUGGCUCACCUGGGCGACGCUCCCUAGCUGGUCUGAGAGGAUGACCAGGCACACUGGAACUUAGUGCCGGUCCAGAUGCCUAGGGGAGUCAGUAGUGGGGAAUAGUGCACAAUGGGCGCAAGCCUGAUGCAGCGAUGCCGCGUGUAUGAAGAAGGCCUUCGGGUUUUAAAGUACUUUCAGCGGGGAGGCGUUACCCGCAGAAGAAGCACCGGCUAACUCCGUGCCAGCAGCCGCGGUAAUAC